AGUAGGGUCAGCUAAAUAAGCUGUCGGGCCCAUACCCCGAAAAUGCCCGCCGGCCCCUACUA
rnacentral:tRNA from 1 species